rnacentral:rRNA from 1 species
GACGAACGCUGGCGGCGCGCCUAACACAUGCAAGUCGAACGAGCGAGAGAGAGCUUGCUUUCUCGAGCGAGUGGCGAACGGGUGAGUAACGCGUGAGGAACCUGCCUCAAAGAGGGGGACAACAGUUGGAAACGACUGCUAAUACCGCAUAAGCCCACGGUGCCGCAUGGCACAGAGGGAAAAGGAGCAAUCCGCUUUGAGAUGGCCUCGCGUCCGAUUAGCUGGUUGGUGAGGUAAUGGCCCACCAAGGCGACGAUCGGUAGCCGGACUGAGAGGUUGAACGGCCACAUUGGGACUGAGACACGGCCCAGACUCCUACGGGAGGCAGCAGUGGGGAAUAUUGCACAAUGGGGGAAACCCUGAUGCAGCGACGCCGCGUGGAGGAAGAAGGUUUUCGGAUUGUAAACUCCUGUCGUUAGGGACGAUAAUGACGGUACCUAACAAGAAAGCACCGGCUAACUACGUGCCAGCAGCCGCGGUAAAACGUAGGGUGCAAGCGUUGUCCGGAAUUACUGGGUGUAAAGGGAGCGCAGGCGGGAAGACAAGUUGGAAGUGAAAACCAUGGGCUCAACCCAUGAAUUGCUUUCAAAACUGUUUUUCUUGAGUAGUGCAGAGGUAGAUGGAAUUCCCGGUGUAGCGGUGGAAUGCGUAGAUAUCGGGAGGAACACCAGUGGCGAAGGCGGUCUACUGGGCACCAACUGACGCUGAGGCUCGAAAGCAUGGGUAGCAAACAGGAUUAGAUACCCUGGUAGUCCAUGCCGUAAACGAUGAUUACUAGGUGUUGGGGGAUUGACCCCCUCAGUGCCGCAGUUAACACAAUAAGUAAUCCACCUGGGGAGUACGACCGCAAGGUUGAAACUCAAAGGAAUUGACGGGGGCCCGCACAAGCAGUGGAGUAUGUGGUUUAAUUUGAAGCAACGCGAAGAACCUUACCAGGUCUUGACAUCCGAUGCAUAGCACAGAGAUGUGUGAAAUCCUUCGGGACAUCGAGACAGGUGGUGCAUGGUUGUCGUCAGCUCGUGUCGUGAGAUGUUGGGUUAAGUCCCGCAACGAGCGCAACCCUUAUUGCCAGUUACUACGUUAAGAGGACUCUGGCGAGACUGCCGUUGACAAAACGGAGGAAGGUGGGGAGGACGUCAAAUCAUCAUGCCCUUUAUGACCUGGGCUACACACGUACUACAAUGGCGUUAAACAAAGAGAAGCAAGACCGCGAGGUGGAGCAAAACUCAAAAACAACGUCUCAGUUCAGAUUGCAGGCUGCAACUCGCCUGCAUGAAGUCGGAAUUGCUAGUAAUCGCGGAUCAGCAUGCCGCGGUGAAUAAAAUGCCGGGCCUUGCACA